AACCCCCCCAGGAGAAUCAUUUCUAUAGUAUUCGACCUUCUCUUGGUUCCCUAAAAGAGCCACAGAAUCCACCCUGGUUGAUGAAUGUAUAUCCUCGACACCCUAGAGUGAAAGCUCCGGUUCCUCUCGCUCUGUCCGCAAGGAUGGCGGUCUCGCUUCUUUUGAGCGCUGGCUGUAUAGAGAGAUUGUUCCCGUAUGGCAUGGCAACAUGUCGGGAAGCUUUGUUGAUGAUCUCGACCCUGUUCGUUGCUGUCUUCGGACACAUGGAUGGGGUGGGUGUUGAUGGACGUCUGACAGGU
rnacentral:snoRNA from 1 species